rnacentral:lncRNA from 1 species
GUGUCAUCCGGCAGAGAAGACGAAGAAUGGUUCUGGGUUUAGACAUCAGUCCUAUAUCCCAUUCUAGUCUCUUAGCAGGUGGUAAACCUGACGGCUUGUCUGAGUCAAAAUCCAAAACUUUUCUUUGACUGCGGGCAUUCAACCUGGUUCCCCUCCUAAUCUGACGAAUUGCUAUACUCUGACAUAAGCACGAAACCUCUCCUGAACAGUUUCAGAGGCUAUAGGGCUGAUAUCAAAGUCCAGGCUUCUCUAUACUGUCCCCUCAACAAACUACCUGUGAUCCAUCCUGAUCUCUAAGCCUGACUACUCUGCCUAUCAAUAGCAGUCCUAUGAGUAGCUAGCCCAUCCACCCCUAGAAUGACGUCAAACAGUCAUUCUAGAACCACUAGGUCAGCUGGAAGGCACCUACUCAAAACUCACACUAAACGCUACUGACAGAUUAACUCUGCCACUGAUGGAUCACAUUUGGGUCUAGUGACUCAAAGAGGACAUUUAAAUCCCAGAAGCUAACAAACCCCUACUCUCUGUGACUCUCAAAGCCCUAAGGAAAGCGAAACAUCAGAGUCUCUAAUAACAGACACAUCAAAAUAUAUGGAAGUGCAAAGUACCUGUCACCGCCAUGUCUGAUGUGUAGGCCUCUUGCUGUGUCAAAGCGAAGAUCCGUGCUGGUACUGAUGGACCUUCAUCUGGGGAACUUGUGGAAGAAGGAGUGAUCUCGCUCCCUCUGCCUCUGCCCAAAGUCAUAGCUAGAGCUCCUAGUUGAGUCACUCUAUCUGAGGCUGUCUGCUGGGACUGUGUUAUCAAAGUCGCGGUGGAACACUCACGUGCUAUGUGCCCCUCCUGUCCGCACCUAAAACAUGCUGUUGUCCCUACUAAACAAACUCCCUUGUGCGGCCUACCGCACCUCGGACAUUUGGAGUUUGUCAAACCAGAGCUCGAUCCCUCACCUAUUCCCAGACCAGACUUGAGCUGCUUCCAGAACUUGUUCUUCUUUGAUCGUCUGAGGCCUCUUCCCCCCUUCUUCCUUUCUCUACCAGCCUCGUGCAGAGGGGAGAGAUUCACAUCACUUGUCCCUGCAAGUUUGGCACUAGCUUCUCUCUUCUGUGCCAUAUCUACUAUAUCAUGGAACCUCUUCCUUGCGCUAUCUGGAAAAGCCCCUUCAGCAAACUCUGUUGCAAACUGCUCCCAGGAUAAGCUUUCUACCCUCGGGUUCACAUACUGGUUGAACCAUGCCCUUGCCUUUUCACAUUUCAAUGUGACCCCUGCCAUCUGAAUGGCGCUACGCUCACUGGCUCCCAACUCCUCAGUUAUCAUCUUGACCCUGCUGAGAUACUCAAAAGGGUCAUCACCAGUCUCAAACUUGGGAACAUCUAACCGCAAAUAGUCUGUCAUCUGUACCCUACUUCCUCCAGGUGAACUAGGCUUAGGUAUUUGGACAACUGGGGUUACUGGUUCUACUGGUGGUGGAGGAUGUGUAACAUUUUCUAGAUUACGGUUGCCUGAACCUGGAUAACCAAAGAAAGGUGGAAACAUAGCAUACUGUGGAUGUAACGGUGGAUAUGGCGGGUAAAAAGAAGGAUAAGGCAUCAAGGUAGGAUAUGGAUGAUAACUAGGAAACUCCGAUGUACCUCUCAUCGGGUACUCUGCCCCCCACUGGUAGGGUGGAUACUGAGGUGGAACAAAUCUCGAGGCCUGAGUGCCUCCUUGAGACUCACCCAUAUCUCCUCCUAACCUGCUCCUGCCAAAGCUACCAUCUCUGCUCUGCACAUCCUCCUCUAGGACUCUCCUAAACCCUGACAUACCACUCUGCACAACUCCCCUUCUACUCUCAUCACUAGACCUUCUAGGGUCCCUUGAUGUACCUUCUCUGCUUAAACUAUCUGCUGUUGCCUUUUGCAGAACUGGGAGAUGAGCAUCCAUGUCCUCAUCCUCCGACGGAGCUCCAGUCAAUCUCGCAGAUCGACGAGUUCCUCUCAUCCUGCCUCUGAAAAUCACAACAUCACACACAAUAUCAUCAAAUGAUCCAUGUGAAAACACAUGAAUCCUUAACACAUAUCAAUCAUAUCAAUAAUGCACAUGCAACUCAUCAUGGCAUUUCACAUCAUCAUGCAAGACAGGACUCCACAUCCUAUCCUAGUGGACAUGAUUGUACCUAUUGUGCUUUCCUUCCUAUACAAGACAACACCUCUUUCCGGUGUGGACUAUCCCAACACACCGUACUCUUGAGGCCCUAUGCUCUGAUACCNNNN